GCAAGCGUUGCUCGGAAUUAUUGGGCGUAAAGGGCAGGUAGGUGGUCUCAUUUGUCCGGGGUGAAAUCCUUGAGCCUAACUCAAGAAGUGCCCCGGAGACGGUGAGACUAGAGUUUUGGAGAGGGUCGUGGAAUUCCCGGUGUAGCGGUGAAAUGCGUAGAGAUCGGGAGGAACACCAGAGGCGAAAGCGGCGACCUGGACAAUGACUGACACUCAACUGCGAAAGCGUGGGGAGCAAACAGG
rnacentral:rRNA from 1 species